AUGGCAUCACCGAGGCCAAGCCCUUUAGCAGCCCGUCGGAAUACUUUGGCAGGCAUAUGGAUCUCCAAGGAAGGCAGGAUCUCUCUGCAAUGGAUCAGGCGUCCUUCCAACCGCACGCCGGCUGCCCCGGCUGCAAAGGUGGCUGAGCGCCUUGUUUUUCGCAGCCUGGGCAUAACCAAAGAUGGUGAAGAUGUCACCGCUUCGACCCUGAAUGUGUUCACGGAGAGAUUCAAGGAGCAGCUCCCUCCUGAAGUGAUUGUGGCCAUGAGGGAUUUUUUCAAGCUUGACGAUAGUGCUAUUGCUGUUGUCGAGGACGCGCUGAUAGACCACGGUGGUGCAGCGGCUAUGGACUCUGUGGGGCUGGAACAAGAUGGCCAGGGAUCGCAGCCGGCGAUCGCCUGA
rnacentral:rRNA from 1 species